CAGAAUCUAACGGUAAGGAAUCUUGUGGCUCUAUAAUUGCAGAAGCGAGAGAAUCUUUAACAUCCAUCUGCUUAAGCAUAGGAUGAGUUCUUGGCUCAGGUUUCAGUACUGUACAGACAGAAUCUUUCACGACACCAUCAUCUUCAACUUCAUCAGAGCUGAGGAUGACUCUAAAAUGAGUCUUCUCUGAUGGAGUAAUGGUAGCUGUUCUGGGAUGUUCCAGUUUCUCUUUCUUGCUUAUCUUGGUUGAUUCCGGGAAUCCUCCCCACGUCCAUUCCAUGUGAGAUUCAGAUCUCAGCAAGCUCUCAGCAGGUUUAACUUCUAGUUCGGAAUCACUUUUAGGGCAGACUGGCUCAGAGUAAGGGUUAUCCAGAGGGGACCAGUCUCCAUCAGAUAAUGGGUAAUGAUCCUUCGAGUGAUAAAUCAGAGAUUCUUUUUGUUCUUCACCUUUUGGUGACGAAUUUGAGGAUCCUCUAAGGGGCUGAACACUUUUCUCAUCAUCUGAGCUUAUUUCCAUUUCAAAAAUCUCUUCUGUCCCAGUAGAAGAAAUUUGAUCUUCUUUCCUGAUAUCUUGCUUGUAUUUCUUUCUUCUUCUUUUUUUCUUUUUCACUGAUCCCGGGGUGAAUACAGUCUCUGUUUCCAUAGCAUGCGGAAUUUCUGAGUUUGCACAUGUCCUCUCACUUUCACCUGAUAUCAAAUGAUUGCCAGUGUCUUUAAAAAACUGGUCUUCAGUGGGUAUUGGAGAUGUGGCCAAAUAUGCAGGAACUUUUUCAUUUUCCUCUUCAGUUUCUUGUACAAAGAAUGCUUCUCCAUUGUCACCCAGUUUCAUGUGAAGAUCAACAGCAUCGCCAUUAAUUUCUAUAUCAAUCACUUUUUCUUUAGAGCG
rnacentral:lncRNA from 1 species